UAUUGUUAAUCUUGAAAAAUUACGCCUGAGAGAUUCCUGUGUAGAAGCUUGGAACCACCAGAGCGGACAUUGUGAAACAAAUUUAAAAAAUAUGCAUACAAAAUUCAAUAAUUGGUACAACAAAAUGUCGAUUCUUGGUAAGAUAGAAAAAAUAGA